rnacentral:rRNA from 1 species
AUACGUAGGGUGCGGGCGUUAAUCGGAAUUACUGGGCGUAAAGCGUGCGCAGGCGGUUUUGUAAGACAGUGGUGAAAUCCCCGGGCUCAACCUGGGAACUGCCAUUGUGACUGCAAGGCUGGAGUGCGGCAGAGGGGGAUGGAAUUCCGCGUGUAGCAGUGAAAUGCGUAGAUAUUCGGAGGAACACCGAUGGCGAAGGCAAUCCCCUGGGCCUGCACUGACGCUCAUGCACGAAAGCGUGGGGAGCAAACAGGAUUAGAUACCCUGGUAGUCCACGCCCUAAACGAUGUCAACUGGUUGUUGGGAAUUUAUUUUCUCAGUAACGAAGCUAACGCUUGAAGUUGACCGCCUGGGGAGUACGGCCGCAAGGUUAAAACUUAAAGGAAUUGACGGGG